CUCAGGGAAGCGAGGCUGAAGAGCAGUUACUGUUUUAGCUGUAAAAUCUGAAAAAUAUCUGAGAAAACACACAGAGAGAGACACACAGAGAGAGAGAGAGACAGAGACACAAAGAGAGACGACAGAGAGAGACAGAGAGAGAGAGAGACUGAGAGAUGAAGGGGAAGACCUGCCUUUAGAGAAUAGUAUAGUGAAGACGUGCAAAAUUUAGAUGGAUGUGCCAACAAAAUCCUGAGGAAGUUGUGACAUUGCAAAUUAGCGCAUACAAACACUACAUGUACCCACAGGUACAUGCACCCACAUGGUGUCAAAGUGCUGUGGUACUGUAGAUAAUAGGAACUCCUAAGUUGUCCAAGCAAAAAAGAGGAAACCAACUUUAGCAGCUACUUAACGUGAAGAGGAGUCGAGUCGACAGUCUGAAAUGAAGAGACGGACUAGAUUUGACAAGUUCCCCUCACCGACCCUGCGUUAGAAUGCCCUGUCUCCUAGGGAACUGUGGAAACUCUGGUUUCCAUUUCAACACCGGAGGCAAACCCUGGACUACAUACAAGCCACCAAGCAGAACGACCCACCUGGAUGUAUGAAGAGUAAGAGCUGAAGUUUCUCCAGAAUUCCAAACAAGGGCUCCAAAGGCCACUGUGCCUGAAGACUAAAGGCCUUGCUGGCAGCUUCACUUCCCUUUCCUAUGACGAAUUUUUAGGGUAGGGGUUGGCAGAUGUCAGGACACAUGGACUCAGUGUCUGCUAGAAAUAUGUAAGCAAAUUGGACUUUGGGGUGUCUAUUAUUCCAGGAUCCUAAGAAAUUGUCACUUCUAAGAUUUGAUAGUGAUGAUUUGAAAUUAUUUCUCUCCAAGGCAUAUUCUUUUCAAUGAGUCGAAGUCUUGCUGAGAUUAUAUAUGCAGAGAACACUUUUAGAGACUGCAGCAUCUAGGUGGUAGCAUGUGGAAAGGACUCGAUCAGUAACACUCCACAGGUUCAGAAAUGCUCCUCAAAAAGGACUGUAACGUACUUGUCAGGUGAAUCCAGGAAGUGCUAAGGCCCUUUAAGCAGAUGUACAUGACUUGCUGAAAAUCCAUACCAGGGAUCUCUUUGUAGACAGAAGAGAGCUCCACAUAUUUCAGGUGGGGUGGGGGUACCUCCACAGGCGUUCUUCAGGAACAGGCAAUUGGAGAGCAUGCAUGUCUGAGCGCCUAUCACAUGGCUUAAGGCAAGUCUAAGGAGAAUAACCUACAAGAAAUUGGCAGUGUAUCUAAAACUCCUGAGUCUAAAUAUCACUAAAAAAUGAUUUUUCUGUAUGCUGGCUAUCAAAAUGAGUUAUAAUACAAUAACUGUAAUAAAACCCAUCUGUUCUGUUUUAAUGAACAAAAACUUCGUUUUCACUAGGGUUAGUGAAAGAAAGACCAAAAAAAAUACGAACAAGAAGUUCAUUAAAAAGUAACUUGUUUUGG